UACGGAAGGGGGCUAGCGUUGCUCGGAAUCACUGGGGUCGGUAAAGGGUGCGUAGGGCGGGGUCUUUAAGUCAGGGGUGAAACUCCUGGAGCUCGAACUCCAGUAACUGCCUUUGAUACUGAGGAUCUUUGAGUUCGGGGAGAGGGUGAGUGGAACUGCGAGUGUAGAGGUGAAAAUUUCGUAGAUAUUCGCAAGAACACCAGUGG
rnacentral:rRNA from 1 species